GGGCUCUGGAGAUAGUGUUUUAAGAGGCUAACACAAAAGGGUAAACCCAGUAAGUCUCCAUAAGACCCAGGGAAGACAUUGUGAAACUCUUCUUUGGAUCCUGUUUGUAGUUAGUUAA
rfam:Erinaceus europaeus unplaced genomic scaffold scaffold00408, whole genome shotgun sequence